GAUGAAGAACGUAGCGAAAUGCGAUAAGUAAUGUGAAUUGCAGAAUUCAGUGAAUCAUCGAAUCUUUGAACGCACAUUGCGCCCGCCAGUAUUCUGGCGGGCAUGCCUGUUCGAGCGUCAUUUCAACCAUCAAGCCCCCGGGCUUGUGUUGGGGACCUGCGGCUGCCGCAGGCCCUGAAAAGCAGUGGCGGGCUCGCUGUCACACCGAGCGUAGUAGAUUUUAUCUCGCUCAGGGCGUGCUGCGGGUUCCGGCCGUUAAACCACCUUCAUAACCCAAGGUUGACCUCGGAUCAGGUAGGAAGACCCGCUGAACUUAAGCAUAUCAAUAAGCGGAGGA
rnacentral:misc_RNA from 1 species